GACGAACGCUGGCGGCGUGCUUAACACAUGCAAGUCGAACGGAAAGGCCCUGCUAUCGUGGGGUGCUCGAGUGGCGAACGGGUGAGUAACACGUGAGUAACCUGCCCUUGACUUUGGGGUAACUUCAGGAAACUGGGGCUAAUACCGGAUAGGAGCCCCUGCUGCAUGGUGGGGGUUGGAAAGUUUCGGCGGUUGGGGAUGGACUCGCGGCUGAUGAGCUUGUUGGUGGGGGAGUGGCUUACCAAGGCUUUGACGGGUAGCCGGCCUGAGAGGGUGGACGGCCACAUUGGGACUGAGAUACGGCCCAGACUCCUACGGGAGACAGCAGUGGGGAGUAUUGCACAGUGGGCGGAAGCCUGAUGCAGCAACGCCGCGUGCGGGAUGACGGCCUUCGGGUUGUGAACCGCUUUCGCCUGUGACGAAGCGUGAGUGACGGUAAUGGGUAAAGAAGCACCGGCUAACUACGUG
rnacentral:rRNA from 1 species